GCUGGUAUAAAUGAUGACUUGACUUUUUUCCCCGUCAGAUCGACAAUGUUGAUGUCUUUAAUUAUUUGCCAGUUAGUUCUGAUACACCAGC
ensembl:snoRNA SNORD12C small nucleolar RNA, C/D box 12C